GCUGAAGGCAGCUGUUCACACAAAAACUUGUACACACAUGUUCAUAGCAGCAUUGCUGAUAAUAAUAGAAAUUGGAAAUCAAUUCAAAAUCCAUUGCUUGGUAGGGGGAUAGAUAAGAUGAGGUAUAUCCAUGCUGUGGAAUAUUCUUCAGCUAUAAAAAGGGACGGAGUGCUAAUGCGUGCUAAAAUGCGGAUGAACCUUAGCAGCAUACUCAGCGAGGAAAAUCAGAUGCGAGGGGGGCGGAGUGUGUUGGGGACCCAGGGUCCUGUGGAAGUUCAUCUCGGGGUGCAGGGUCCGGCGGCGGUGACACUUGUUGCUCUGCACUGGACCUCAGCUGGACUUUCCGUUUUCAGCCACCUCGGCACUGGACACCUUGUUCCAGAAGGUCUUUGGGAACAAGCCCUUUGGGAUGAGGGACGAAUGAAUCCAGCGGGCUGGGUGGGAGGCCAACACAUUGUGAGAUGGUUUCUAGAAUCCCUAUUUUCUGUGAGAAGGAAAGUUAGAUUUCUGAUUUUGAUUUAGUUCUCUUUCUGAGGAGAAGAUGGUCAGCAGCAAGAAGUUCUGGAGGGAGGGGCUGGGUGUCCACAUUGAGAAGCGGUGGCAUUCUGCGGCCUCUUCCCUGUCUCUGCCUCUGUGUCUUUCACCCCCUUACAGGGCACAGAAUAUCGCCAUGGCCACGCCGGGGAAGGGCAGCCGGGACGCGUGGACACGGUCACGAGAGGCCCACAGGCCCGGCGCCCAGCCAGCCAGUGAAGAGCGGGGUCUCUGUCCCUGUCAGCAUCGAGCGAGACAGUCAGAAAGAGGAGUUUCCUUUCCUGUUAGAGAAGCCCUGUAAAUGGCCACAGCAGUGGAGAGGCUGCCAUGAGCGAGUGUUAAUACUUAGUGGCUUAUCUUACUGAGCCCUCCUUCCUACCAAGCAAAUGUCACCUUCAGACUUGCUAGAAGGCAACGUCUGCACCAGGCAUUUCUCCCCCUGGCUGCGCUGCGUCUCCCUUCCCGUACAGCACUGUGUAGACCCCAGCAGCACAGCGCCUUUCCUGCAAACCCAGGACGUCGGGAAGCAAGCGUGGGCGCAGCAGUGUCGUAGCCGGUGCUGCUAAGGAGCGCCCCGCAACAGCCCCGGAACCUGCCGGGCAGCACGAGGUGCCUGCUAACGAAGACCUGAUGGAAUUGGAGGCCCAGAGGAGGGACAGAGACAAGAGGAAGGAGAAGCAAACGAAGAACUUCAGAGACGGGGAGGCGGCAGGGGGCUGUCUUCACUGGAGGAGGCACCGUUGGCUUUGAGGCGCAGGACUCGAAUGUGGACCGCUCCGAGGAGGCUGCAGGGCCACUCGGCACGCAGCCCGGGGCUCCCGCGUCAUCUGUGAUGAGGACAGACGAGCCACUGCCCAGACACCGCUGGAUUGUUUCUCCAGAGGGUGGAUGGAAUCGAAUCCAGCAGCCAGAACCCGAGCCAUCAGCACGGGCACGAGCGACACUCAGCUGGGCCUCCGUCUCCUGCUGCCGAGGACCCUUCAGCUCUCCCGUCUCCCGGCACCCGGCCUGCUCCAUCAGUAACUCUGCCGGCCCGUUCCCUGGGUGCCAGCCCCUGUGCCAGCUGCUGUACUGACUCCUGUGGUUUUAUAGGUCCGUGCUGUAAGCUUGAAAAUGUUUUCUCUGUGGGUUUUUUUUUUUUUUUGGUAGUACUUUUGUGAAGAGUGUUAUAAAGCUAUUGCAGUACAG
ensembl:lncRNA